rnacentral:rRNA from 3 species
AAAUUGAAGAGUUUGAUCAUGGCUCAGAUUGAACGCUGGCGGCAGGCCUAACACAUGCAAGUCGAACGGUAACAGGAAGCAGCUUGCUGCUUCGCUGACGAGUGGCGGACGGGUGAGUAAUGUCUGGGAAACUGCCUGAUGGAGGGGGAUAACUACUGGAAACGGUAGCUAAUACCGCAUAACGUCGCAAGACCAAAGAGGGGGACCUUCGGGCCUCUUGCCAUCGGAUGUGCCCAGAUGGGAUUAGCUAGUAGGUGGGGUAACGGCUCACCUAGGCGACGAUCCCUAGCUGGUCUGAGAGGAUGACCAGCCACACUGGAACUGAGACACGGUCCAGACUCCUACGGGAGGCAGCAGUGGGGAAUAUUGCACAAUGGGCGCAAGCCUGAUGCAGCCAUGCCGCGUGUAUGAAGAAGGCCUUCGGGUUGUAAAGUACUUUCAGCGGGGAGGAAGG